AUUGAACGCUGGCGGUAUGCUUAACACAUGCGAGUCGAACGCGAACGUACCUUCGGGUGCAAGUAGAGUGGCGGACGGGUGAGUAAUGCAUAGGAAUCUGCCCAGUAGGUGGGGGACAACUAGAAGAAAUUCUAGCUAACACCGCAUACGCCCUAAGGGGGAAAGGCUUCGGCCGCUAUUGGAUGAGCCUAUGUCAGAUUAGCUAGUUGGUAGGGUAAUGGCCUACCAAGGCAACGAUCUGUAGCUGGUCUGAGAGGACGAACAGCCACACUGGGACUGAGACACGGCCCAG
rnacentral:rRNA from 1 species